rnacentral:rRNA from 1 species
ACAGCAGUCGCCGCGGUAAUACGUAGGUGGCAAGCGUUGUCCGGAAUUAUUGGGCGUAAAGGGCUCGCAGGCGGUUUCUUAAGCCUGAUGUGAAAGCCCCCGGCUCAACCGGGGAGGGUCAUUGGAAACUGGGAAACUUGAGUGCAGAAGAGGAGAGUGGAAUUCCACGUGUAGCGGUGAAAUGCGUAGAGAUGUGGAGGAAUACCAGUGGCGAAGGCGACUUUCUGGACUGCAACUGACGCUGAGGUGCGAAAGCGUGGGGAGCAGACAGGAUUAGAUACCCCAGUAGUCCCUGUCUCUUAUAC